AGAGUUUGAUCCUGGCUCAGAUUGAACGCUGGCGGCAUGCCUUACACAUGCAAGUCGAACGGCAGCACGGGAGCAAGUCCUGGUAGGCGAGUGGCGAACGGGUGAGUAACGCAUCGGAACGUGCCCAGUCUGGGGGACUAGCCCGGCGAAAGCCGGAUUAAUACCGCAUACGACCUGAGGGUGAAAGCGGGGGACCGAAAGGCCUCGCGCGAUUGGAGCGGCCGAUGUCAGAUUAGGUAGUUGGUGGGGUAAAGGCCUACCAAGCCGACGAUCUGUAGCUGGUCUGAGAGGACGACCAGCCACACUGGGACUGAGACACGGCCCAGACUCCUACGGGAGGCAGCAGUGGGGAAUUUUGGACAAUGGGCGCAAGCCUGAUCCAGCCAUGCCGCGUGCGGGAAGAAGGCCUUCGGGUUGUAAACCGCUUUUGUCGGGGAAGAAAUACGCCGAGCGAAUAACCUGGCGGGAUGACGGUACCCGAAGAAUAAGCACCGGCUAACUACGUG
rnacentral:rRNA from 1 species